AUUGAACGCUGGCGGCAUGCCUUACACAUGCAAGUCGAACGGUAACGCGGGGCAACCUGGCGACGAGUGGCGAACGGGUGAGUAAUAUAUCGGAACGUGCCCAAUAGUGGGGGAUAGCCCGGCGAAAGCCGGAUUAAUACCGCAUACGACCUGAGGGUGAAAGCGGGGGAUCGCAAGACCUCGCGCUAUUGGAGCGGCCGAUAUCAGAUUAGGUAGUUGGUGGGGUAAAAGCCUACCAAGCCUACGAUCUGUAGCUGGUCUGAGAGGACGACCAGCCACACUGGGACUGAGACACGGCCCAGACUCCUACGGGAGGCAGCAGUGGGGGAAUUUUGGACAAUGGGCGCAAGCCUGAUCCAGCCAUGCCGCGUGCGGGAAGAAGGCCUUCGGGUUGUAACCG
rnacentral:rRNA from 1 species